rnacentral:rRNA from 1 species
GCGGAGGAAAAGAAACUAACAAGGAUUCCCUUAGUAGCGGCGAGCGAACAGGGAUGAGCCCAGCACUGAAUCCCGUGGUCGGAAACGACCACUGGGAAAUGUAGUGUUAGGGAGGAUCCAUAUUCCCGAGUUAACGCGGCGCGUUCAAGUCCAUCUUGAAUGGGGCCAAAUACCCGUAGAGGGUGCUAGGCCUGUUUCGACCGUCGCGUGACCUCGGGAGGAUCUCUCCUCAGAGUCGGGUUGCUUGAAAAUGCAGCCCUAAGUUGGUGGUAAACUCCAUCUAAGGCUAAAUAUGACCACUAGACCGAUAGCGAACAAGUACCGUGAGGGAAAGUUGAAAAGAACUUUGAAGAGAGAGUUCAAUAGUACGUGAAACCGUUCAGGGGUAAACCUGAGAAACCCGAAGAUUCGAAAAGGUGGAUUCAGCGCACCCGUUCGUAUUCCGUCUCCGCAGGUAACGAGAUACCCGAUGCGCACGGUCGGAAUUAAUUUUUUGACCGUCGCGUCGGGCCUCGUCCUCGCGGUUGCGGGUCGACGUGUGCGUGCAUUUCCGCCUUAGUAGGACGUCGCGACCCGUUGGGUGUCGGCCUAAGGCCCGCGUGCCAGCCUGUCACGGUCAGACCCCGUUACCCUUCGGGGUUUCGGACGACGACCGAGCACAGAGCCGCGGUGUUCUCCUGGCUGACCGCCCGACGGUAAAAAGGCAUUGGGGCGCAUUCACGUGCGUCUUAGACCCGACCGUAAGUCGUCGCGAGUCGUCCGGACGUCGAGCCUCUGGCUCGGCCCCGGCUUCGCACUUCUGUUCGCGGUCGGUGUUCUCUGACUGUCCCUGCGACGCAGGUGCAUUGGGUACUUUCAGGACCCGUCUUGAAACACGGACCAAGGAGUCUAGCAUGUGCGCAAGUCAUUGGGAUUUGAUAAACCCCAUAGGCGAAAUGAAAGUAAAGGGGUCCGAGCUUAGCGGCGAGGACCCCGAGGGAAGAUGGGCAGUGCCACUAUACUGCCCCGCAUUCCCGGGGCGUCUCGUUCUCAUUUCGGUGAGAUGAGGCGCACCUAGAGCGUACAUGCUGGGACCCGAAAGAUGGUGAACUAUGCCUGGUCAGGUCGAAGUCAGGGGAAACCCUGAUGGAGGACCGUAGCGAUUCUGACGUGCAAAUCGAUCGUGAGAACUGGGUAUAGGGGCGAAAGACUAAUCGAACCAUCUAGUAGCUGGUUCCCUCCGAAGUUUCCCUCAGGAUAGCUGGCGCUCGGGAAAUUAAACUCGCAAGAGUCUCAUCCGGUAAAGCGAAUGAUUAGAGGCCUUGGGGCCGAAACGGCCUCAACCUAUUCUCAAACUUUAAAUGGGUGAGAUCUCCGGCUUGCUUAACCGUGAAGCCGGAGAUUUAGGAUCUAGAGUGCCCAGUGGGCCACUUUUGGUAAGCAGAACUGGCGCUGUGGGAUGAACCAAAUGCUGAGUUAAGGCGCCCAAGCGACGCUUAUGAGACACCAUGAAAGGCGUUGGUUGCUUAAGACAGCAGGACGGUGGCCAUGGAAGUUGGAAUCCGCUAAGGAGUGUGUAACAACUCACCUGCCGAAGCAACUAGCCCUGAAAAUGGAUGGCGCUUAAGCGUCGUGCCUAUACUCGGCCGCCAGGGCAGAAGCGCCCGUGCGCGUUCACUCGCAAGAGAGAAUGCGUUACGGACAUUGACGCUCUGGUGAGUAGGAGGGUCGAUGCGGUGUGCGCAGAAGGGUCUGGGCGCAAGCCUGCCUGGAGCCACCGCAUGUGCAGAUCUUGGUGGUAGUAGCAAAUACUCUAGCGAGGCCCUGGAGGACUGAUGUGGAGAAGGGUUUCGUGUGAACAGUCGUUGCACACGAGUUAGUCGAUCCUAAGCCCUAAGAGAAAUCUUAUGUUGAUGGGUGUAUUUUAUGUUUCCGUCUAGCUACAUGUCAUACACCCGUUGGGCGAAAGGGAAUCAGGUAAAUAUUCCUGAACCCGGCCGCGGAACCGUACACAAAGCCGUACUGUCGCAAGACAGCUCGAUGAGGUAACUCAAACAAAACUGGAGACGACGUCGGGAGAUCUGGGAAGAGUUAUCUUUUCUGCCUACGCGAGCGUGGUCCCUGGAAAUAUCUAGCAUAGAGAUAGGGAAUGGCUCAGCUAAGAGCACAGCAUUUGCGUGCUGUGUCCAGAUUUUCCCCUCGUACCUUGAAAAUCCAGUUGAGGGCUACGUGGAGGUGUCGCGCCGGCUCGUACCCAUAUCCGCAGCAGGUCUCCAAGGUGAAUAGCCUCUAGUC